GACGGGGGAUGCAAGUGUUAUCCGGAAUCACUGGGCGUAAAGCGUCUGCAGGUGGUUUCCUAAGUCCACUGUUAAACCUUGAGGCUCAACCUCAAAUCUGCAUUGGAAACUAGGAGACUUGAGUAUAGUAGGGGUAGAGGGAAUUUCCAGUGGAGCGGUGAAAUGCGUAGAUAUUGGAAAGAACACCGCUGGCGAAGGCACUCUACUGGGCUAUUACUGACACUCAGAGACGAAAGCUAGGGGAGCAAAUGGG
rnacentral:rRNA from 1 species